AAAACGACUCUCGGCAACGGAUAUCUCGGCUCUCGAUCGAUGAAGAACGUAGCGAAAUGCGAUACUUGGUGUGAAUUGCAGAAUCCCGUGAACCAUCGAGUCUUUGAACGCAAGUUGCGCCCCAAGCCUUCUCGGGGCCGAGGGCACGUCUGCCUGGGUGUCACAA
rnacentral:rRNA from 1 species